rnacentral:rRNA from 1 species
UACGUAGGGGGCAAGCGUUGUCCGGAUUUAUUGGGCGUAAAGAGCUCGUAGGUGGUUCGGUAAGUCGGAUGUGAAAUCUCCAGGCUCAACCUGGAGGGGUCAUUCGAUACUGCCGUGACUAGAGGUCGGUAGGGGAGUGUGGAAUUCCCGGUGUAGAGGUGAAAUUCGUAGAUAUCGGGAGGAACACCGGUGGCGAAGGCGGCGACCUGGGUAGAUACUGACGCUGAGGUGCGAAAGCGUGGGGAGCAAACAGG